UUUUUUUUUUUUUUUUUUUUUUUUGCCAUUUCUUGGGCUGUUCCCUUGGCAUGUGGAGGUUCCUAGGCUAGAGGUCGAAUCGGAGCUGUAGCCGCCGGCCUACGCCAGAGCCACAGCAACGCAGGAUCCGAGCCUGGUCUGCGACUUACACCACAGCAAUACCGGAUCCUUAACCCACUGAGCAAGGCCUGGGAAAAAAGAAUUAUCUACCUUACCUUUGCAUUCAAAGACUGGGCCAUCAGUUCCUAGAAGACCAGGUAGAAUAUUUGUAUCUCAAAGGCACAGAGAAAGAAUGGAAGUUCCUCCUAGAAUGGCUUUUGUUCCUAAGGCCAGAAUUUUAGUAAUACUUAGAAACCUUUUGAGAUGAAUAAGGGAGGUUUAAGGAUUACUAAAAAGGCUAAGUAUAUUUUGAAUUUUUCCUUGAGCUGCAUUUCUGUCCUCAUAAAGACUUAGUUUAUAAGAUGAGGACAGUUAUUUUUUAAUUCCUUGAAGAACUGAGUUGCAAGCAAAAUGACUUCAGAGCUAACCCACUAUCGACUACAUUUCCAGUUUGCUUCUUUAUGUCAGGGAGAAGAUCUUCAACUAAGAAAUCAAGAUUCCUCUGUUCUAGAUCUAGAUCUCUUUGUUUUCGGAGUAUUUUUCCCCCCUCUGGGUAUAUAGUUUCAUUUUAGCUUAGGGCAGAAGGCCUUAAUAAAAGUUCCUGUUGGAGUUCCCAUUGUGGCUCAGUGGGAUUGAACCCGAAUCCUCAUGGAUGCUAGUUGGAUUAGUUUCCGUUGAGCCACAAUGGGGACUCCACAACUGCAAUUCUUAAAUGAAAAAUCUUGUUUAGUUGGAAUGUCUCCCUUAAUGGCCAUUGUAAUUCUAAGUUGUCUUAGGAAGACUUUGCCUUUUUUGUAGAUAGUAACAGCUUCCAGGACUCCAGAUAAACAAGCAGUUGUGCUAGAAAGUGUUGUGCUCAAUCCUUUGAAACCUGAGGCUCCCACUUCUUUAGCUAAGCUUUGGACCUUUUGGAGCCAAAUUAAUAUCUAAGAGGGAUGUGCUUCGGGUUGGGGAUUGUGUGAUGUUUUGCAGUCUAUCUUGUUGCACAGAAACUUUCUUGAGGUUGUCAAUCUAAUCCUUUCCACGACCAACUUAUUCUAGCAUAGGUGUCUUAGAGUUGAGUGCUCUAACAGUUCUUAAGUACCUGACCUGUCUGGUCAGUAUUGUCACUUUGACUUUUGAGAUUCCCAUUCACACUAGAUCUGUUAUUCUUUUACCUCAUGUGCAUAGUAUCAGAAACCAACAGUAACCAAGGAAAUGGAACUGUAGAUACCCAGUAGUAACCAAGGAGAUGGUAUUCCAGACUUGCCAAGAGAAGGCCUUAGGUGUUCCUAAGUGGACCCACUUGUAGUUCCUAAGGUAGAACUUUGAGCUGAACCAGUAGAUCCUAACAAAUGGGCAACGUGGACUAACCAAGGGCUAGGGACUCAGGUUCUGGGUAGAACUGCCUGGCAGCUCAAGCUGACCCCCUAAGCUUUGAACUAGGAAACCAAUUAGAUUGCAAGCUCAGCGCAAAGAGAAUAGAGCUCAGAACUGUGAGGAUCUUACCCAUGGUCUGUGGGAAGACAGAGGGUUCACAGGUACCAGUGCCUGUGUUUCUCAUCCUUGACGUCGUCAGAAGUUUCCUUUGGAUCCCGUCACUGCCACCAAAAUGUUUAAAAGCAAAAUUCAGCUGAGAUAUUUUAAAGAUCUUACUGGAUUUGUUCAAAGUGAUUUCUGAUGGACUGGUUUAAGAUUCCAUUUCUGGGAGAGGCCAAAAUUGUAAGUUAAGUUGAUUUGUUGCUGUGGGGCUUAGCAUGACUCCAUUUUGGGCCUGAUGUCUUAUUUUUAACAAAGUGUAUCUAUCAGCAAAGCACUUAAUGAUAAAAAUUAGUUUCUGAGGUAUCACUGCCUCUCACACUAUAUAAAGAUUUUCUGUAAUUAACAAAACAAAUUUGUAGACCUUCCAGUCCAUAUAAGUAUAAAGGUUAAACAUUUAGGAAUAAAAAUGGGCUUUUAGGUAAAGCCAUAUGGUGUUAGGAGAAUCCUUUUUAUAAAAAUGGUAGGAAAAAAAAACACAACAAGAGAAAUUUGGUGCUUAUAAGAGAACAGAAAUUAGACAUACUAAAUUUUAUAUGUGACCCUUGCUCUAUAUCAACUAAGCUUUUUGGUCUAGUUUAUUGAAGUUGUAAAUUCAGUGCCUUUAUCAGAAAGAUAUUUUCCAGUGACAAAGGCCUUUGAAUAAUCAAAGUACUUCUGGGUUCAAGCGAUUUAAAUAAGACUUAUUCCUUUUUAAAGAACUACUUGAAUUUUCCUUUCUCAGAGUGGGAUUUUUACUUCUGAUCCUAAGUGAAUAUAAGUGAAAAGCACAACUGUGCUCUAAGGGAAUGUUGGAAUUCUAAACCCUUAUUUCAAAUCUGGGCUAAUAUUCUCUAGUUAUGGUAUUUUGGUAAAAUAAUAUAUAUCUCAAAACUCAGCUUCUCAAUCAGUAAAAUUUGUAUGAUUAUAAAUUACUAUCUCGUGGUUGCUAUGAGGAGUAAUUGAAUCAUGAUGCAUAAACGUCUCCAGCAAAGUUUUGGUUUAUUUUUUCUCCAAAAAUAUAAGGGGGUUUCCAUGAUAAAUUUUCCUGAAGCUUAUAUUGGCAAAUAAAAAUGGUAGUUAUUGAGUAAAAAUUAUAGUCACCUUGUGGCUUUGAGAAUAAGGAUUAAUUUUAUUAGUUUCAAUAAGAAGACAAAAUUUUUCCUUUAUCUGCAAUUAAUUGUUAUAAAAAUAUUAUAUCAGGAAAGACAUACGGGUUCUAUAAUGGGCUAUUUUACUUUAAACUUUCAAAAUAGAAUCUUAAAAAUUUCUUCUCAUAAAUGAACAUGUUUAAGAAAAACUUUAAAAUAAGUACACACAGAUGGUUAACUUUGAGAUGAUGGAUACAUUAACUAACCUUAUUGUGAUGGUCACUUAAUAUAUACACAUAACUCAUCACAUUGCGUACCUUAAAUUUCUGUAAUUGUCAAAGCUGGAAAAAAUAAAGAUAAGCAAAAAGAAUUAAAAUAAUUCAGGAGUUCCUGCUGUGGUGCAGCAGAUUAAUAAUCUGGAGGUGCCAGUUUGAUCCUUGGCCAGCCCAGUGGGUUAACUGUGGUGUAGGUUGUAGCUCCAGCUCAGAUUCCAUGCCUGGCUGAGCAACUUCCAUAUGCUUUGGGGGCAGCCAAAAAAGAAAAAAAAAAGAAUUAAAGUAUUUCAUAGAUGAACACUACAUGUUUUUUGGGCAUAUGCUUUUAUUUUCUCAAGAAUGUGACUGUCUUUUAUGAUUUUUGGUAACUUGGAUUUUGUUUUGUUUUGUGUGUGUGUUUGUUUCGGCCACACCCUCAGCAUGUAGAUGUUCCCUGCCCGGAAUUGAACAUACGCCAUAGCAGCAACUGAGUGACAAUGCUGGGUACAUGACCUGCUGAGCCACAGAGAAACUCUGGGGAUUUUCUAUUUAACAAUAUAUAAUGGGUAUUUUCCCAAUUCACUAAAUGUUCUUUUUCAGCAGUGGUUUCCCCUCUCUCUCUCUUUCUUUUUUUUGUCUUUUUAGGGCCUCACCCACGGCAUAUGGGGGUUCCCAGGCUAGGAGUCCAAUCAGACCUGGAGCCUCCAGCCUAUGUCACAGCCACAGCUACGCAGGAUCCUUACCCACUGAGCAAAGCCAGGGAUUGAACCCGUGUCCUCAUGGAUGCUAGUUGGGUUCGUUAACCGCUCAGCCACAACGGGAACUCCUGCAGUGGUUUUCUUUGAAAGAAAAUCUAUACCAUUCCCAUAUGCAAACCACCCAUCAA
rnacentral:lncRNA from 1 species